GACGAACGCUGGCGGUGUGCUUAACACAUGCAAGUCGAACGGUAAGGCCCUUUCGGGGGUACACGAGUGGCGAACGGGUGAGUAACACGUGAGUAACCUGCCCUCAUCUCUGGGAUAACAGUCGGAAACGGUUGCUAAUACUGGAUAUGAGCUUGCAAGGCAUCUUGUGGGUUGGAAAGAUUUUUUUUGGUUGGGGAUGGACUCGCGGCCUAUCAGCUUGUUGGUGAGGUAGUGGCUCACCAAGGCUUCGACGGGUAGCCGGCCUGAGAGGGCGACCGGCCACAUUGGGACUGAGAUACGGCCCGAACUCCUACGGGAGGCAGCAGUGGGGAAUAUUGCACAAUGGACGGAAGUCUGAUGCAGCAACGCCGCGUGCGGGAUGACGGCCUUCGGGUUGUAAACCGCUUUCAAUUGUGACGAAGCUUUUUUGUGACGGUAGCAGUAGAAGAAGCACCGGCUAACUACGUG
rnacentral:rRNA from 1 species